rnacentral:rRNA from 1 species
ACGAACCUUCGGGUUAGUGGCGGACGGGUGAGUAACUUUCUACAAUCUGCCCUCAGGAAGGGGAUAACGGCUGGAAACGGCCGCUAAUACCCCAUAUGCCGCGAGGUGAAAUGAGUUUCGCCUGAGGAUGAGCUCGCGUCUGAUUAGCUAGUUGGUGGGGUAAGAGCCUACCAAGGCGACGAUCAGUAGCUGGUCUGAGAGGAUGAUCAGCCACACUGGGACUGAGACACGGCCCAGACUCCUACGGGAGGCAUCAUUGGG